rnacentral:rRNA from 1 species
GACGAACGCUGGCGGCGGGCUUAACACAUGCAAGUCGAACGGAAAGGCCCUGCGUGCGUGGGGUUCUCGAGUGGCGAACGGGGGCGUAACAGGUGAGCAACCUGACCUACACUUUGGGAUAAGUUCAGGAAACUGGGGCUAAUACAGGAUAGGAGCUCCCGUUGCAUGGUGGGCGUUGGAAAGUUUCGGCGGUUGGGGAUGGACUCGCGGCUUAUGAGCUUGUUGGUGGGCUAGUGGCUUACCAAGGGUUUGACGGGUCGCCGGCCUGGGAGGGUGACCGGCGACAUUGGGACUGAGAGACGGCGCAGAGUCCUACGGGAGGCAGCAGUGGGGAAUAUUGCACAGUGGGCGGAAGCCUGAGGCAGAAGCGCCGCGUGCGUGAUGACGGCCUUCGGGUUGUAAACCGCUUUCGCCUGUGACGAAGCGUGUGUGACGGUAAUGGGUAAAGAAGCACCGGCUAACUACGUG